AUUGAACGCUGGCGGCAGGCUUAACACAUGCAAGUCGAGCGGAGAUGAGGUGCUUGCACCUUAUCUUAGCGGCGGACGGGUGAGCAAUGCUUAGGAAUCUGCCUAUUAGUGGGGGACAACAUUCCGAAAGGAAUGCUAAUACCGCAUACGUCCUACGGGAGAAAGCAGGGGAUCUUCGGACCUUGCGCUAAUAGAUGAGCCUAAGUCGGAUUAGCUAGUUGGUGGGGUAAAGGCCUACCAAGGCGACGAUCUGUAGCGGGUCUGAGAGGAUGAUCAGCCACACUGGGACUGAGACACGGCCCAGACUCCUACGGGAGGCAGCAGUGGGGAAUAUUGGACAAUGGGGGGAACCCUGAUCCAGCCAUGCCGCGUGUGUGAAGAAGGCCUUAUGGUUGUAAAGCACUUUAAGCGAGGAGGAGGCUACUGAGACUAAUACUCUUGGAUAGUGGACGUUACUCGCAGAAUAAGCACCGGCUAACUCUGUGCCAGCAGCCGCCGUAACAC
rnacentral:rRNA from 1 species